rnacentral:rRNA from 1 species
CCUACGGGAGGCUGCAGUGAGGAAUAUUGGUCAAUGGACGAGAGUCUGAACCAGCCAAGUAGCGUGAAGGAUGACUGCCCUAUGGGUUGUAAACUUCUUUUAUAUGGGAAUAAAACGUUCCACGUGUGGGAUUUUGUAUGUACCAUAUGAAUAAGGAUCGGCUAACUCCGUGCCAGCAGCCGCGGUAAUAUGGAGGAUCCGAGCGUUAUCCGGAUUUAUUGGGUUUAAAGGGAGCGUAGGUGGAUUGUUAAGUCAGUUGUGAAAGUUUGCGGCUCAACCGUAAAAUUGCAGUUGAAACUGGCAGUCUUGAGUACAGUAGAGGUGGGCGGAAUUCGUGGUGUAGCGGUGAAAUGCUUAGAUAUCACGAAGAACUCCGAUUGCGAAGGCAGUUCACUGGACUGCAACUGACACUGAGGCUCGAAAGUGUGGGUAUCAAACAGGAUUAGAUACCCUAGUAGUC